ACACACACACACACACACCGCAGCAACAUUCUACCUCAGCCAGAGUUCCAGGCCAAUAGGUGUGGACUUUGACUUCCAGAUUCCUCUGGCAAGUGUCAACAUCAGUCCUGGUGCUCCCUGGCAGAGAAGGACUUGGAGUCACCUUGGCCAAGAAGCUGUCUGGAGGUCACAGUGGCACCGCCCAUCGGCCCCUUGGCCGGAGCUAGGUGAGGGCAGAUUCAGCACAGCAGCAACUCUCCCCAUAAAAAAAUCCCUCAGUGUCUUCUCUAACCCUUCUUAUACUCCUUGUGAGUUUUAGAGCCACCUAAACUCUUCUUUUUUCCCAAUACAUGGAGACAAAAUUUACAUAACAUACAGUUAGCCAUUUUCAAGUAUACAGUUCCCUGCCAUUUGGUACAUUCACAGUGUUUUGCAAGCAACACCCAUAUCAAGCCCCAAAACAUUUUCAUUACCCAGGAAGGAAACCUGUCGUCAUGGAACCGUCACUCCUCACAUCCCCUUCCCCUCAAACCCUGGCAACCCCAAACCGUUCUUGACAGCCUCCUUUGGCAUUUCCUCAUUUUGGUGUCAGAUCUCACAGCAGAAUUUCUUACCUAUUAUAUCCAGUGCCUCAGUGUGAAGUUCCGGUUUAACUUCUUGUUACCACGAGCCCACUAUCUUGCCCCAAUAAUACCCUCCCCCAAUUCACAAACACACA
rnacentral:lncRNA from 1 species